UACAGAGGGUGCGAGCGUUAAUCGGAAUUACUGGGCGUAAAGCGUGCGUAGGUGGUUUAAUAAGUCAGAUGUGAAAUCCCCGGGCUCAACCUGGGAACUGCAUUUGAAACUAUUAGGCUAGAGUACGGUAGAGGGAAGUGGAAUUUCCGGUGUAGCGGUGAAAUGCGUAGAUAUCGGAAGGAACAUCAGUGGCGAAGGCGACUUCCUGGACCGCAACUGACACUGAGGCACGAAAGCGUGGGGAGCAAACAGG
rnacentral:rRNA from 1 species